UGUUAAGUAUAUAAUGUCAUGAAUCCAGUCUGCUUUCUGCUUAACCAUGUCAUAGUCAUGUCUCCCUGCUCAUUGCUUCUGCCCCUCCCGUCACAGAUCUCACAAUCAGCUCAUUCAACUCACCUGUGCUCCUCAGUACUUAAGCUCCUCUCUCCCACAGCAUCAGCGCCAGAUUAACAAACGGUUCUCCUAGUAGUUGUCCAGCAUUCAUGUCACGKCUUGCCUGCCUCGUAUUGACCCUGGUUCUGCUCUCUGGUUUCACGUCUCCUGCCUUGUCCCUUAAUGGUACCGUAUCGGAUUCUGAUCUCCUGGUUUUGACCUCCGCCUUCUCCUCUGGACUGCCGMCUUUCGUCUUCGCCCCUGCCGGAUUUGUUCAGCCAUCUGCCUUCUGGAUUCGGACCUCCGCCUGUGUACCCCGACAAAGAGUUAAGUCUGUUCCCAUAAACCUGGUUGCUGCCUCUGAUCUCAUGUGUAUGACCCAAAGCUGUUUCACGGAUUCCCCAAGUGUAAACAAAUUCGCCUCAAAGACCGGAAGUGACGUCACCGUACUUCGUCUAAGACUCUCAAAGUCUUUYAAGUUCACAUCCAAGUCUCCACGCCGAUUAAGAAGAGCUCCAGAUCCCGGUGACGUGUUCUACCAGUUCCAGCUGCUCUUACUAUAAUAAAACUCUUAAAACUA